CCUACGGGAGGCAGCAGUGGGGAAUCUUGCGCAAUGGGCGAAAGCCUGACGCAGCAACGCCGCGUGCGGGAAGAAGGCUCUCGGGUUGUAAACCGCUUUCAGCAGGAACGAAAAUGACGGUACUUGCAGAAGAAGGUGCGGCCAACUACGUGCCAGCAGCCGCGGUGACACGUAGGCACCAAGCGUUGUCCGGAUUUAUUGGGCGUAAAGAGCUCGUAGGCGGUUCGGUAAGUCAGGUGUGAAAACUUUGGGCUCAACCCAAAGCCUGCAUCUGAUACUGCUGUGACUAGAGUUCGGUAGGGGAGCGGGGAAUUCCUAGUGUAGCGGUGAAAUGCGCAGAUAUUAGGAGGAACACCGGUGGCGAAGGCGCCGCUCUGGGCCGAAACUGACGCUGAGGAGCGAAAGCGUGGGUAGCAAACAGGAUUAGAUACCCUGGUAGUCCACGCCGUAAACGUUGGGCACUAGGUGUGGGUUUCAACCAACGAAAUCCGCGCCGUCGCUAACGCAUAGUGCCGCCGUCGGAGACGGCCGCGAGUAACGUACAANAGAGUAGACGCGUGAGAGUUGCGAGCGACGACGAGGAGAGG
rnacentral:rRNA from 1 species